GACGAACCGUGCGAACGUUGUUCGGAUUCACUGGGCUUAAAGGGCGCGUAGGCGGACGGUCAAGUCAGGGGUGAAAUCUUUCAGCUCAACUGGAAAAGUGCCUCUGAUACUGAUCGUCUCGAGGGAGGUAGGGGCAUGUGGAACUUCCGGUGGAGCGGUGAAAUGCGUAGAUAUCGGAAGGAACGCCGGUGGCGAAAGCGACGUGCUGGACCUCUUCUGAUGCUGAGGCGCGAAAGCCAGGGGAGCAAACGGG
rnacentral:rRNA from 1 species